UACACUCCUGCGGGAGGCAGCAGUGGGGAAUUUUGGACAAUGGGCGAAAGCCUGAUCCAGCAAUGCCGCGUGAGUGAAGAAGGCCUUCGGGUUGUAAAGCUCUUUUGUCAGGGAAGAAACGGUGAAAGCUAAUAUCUUUUGCUAAUGACGGUACCUGAAGAAUAAGCACCGGCUAACUACGUGCCAGCAGCCGCGGUAAUACGUAGGGUGCAAGCGUUAAUCGGAAUUACUGGGCGUAAAGCGUGCGCAGGCGGUUUUGUAAGUCUGAUGUGAAAUCCCCGGGCUCAACCUGGGAAUUGCAUUGGAGACUGCAAGGCUAGAAUCUGGCAGAGGGGGGUAGAAUUCCACGUGUAGCAGUGAAAUGCGUAGAUAUGUGGAGGAACACCGAUGGCGAAGGCAGCCCCCUGGGUCAAGAUUGACGCUCAUGCACGAAAGCGUGGGGAGCAAACAGGAUUAGAUACCCCUGUAGUCC
rnacentral:rRNA from 1 species